rfam:Oryza meridionalis cultivar OR44 (W2112) chromosome 12, whole genome shotgun sequence.
ACUGUUGAUGAAGAUGAUCUCAUCAGCUACAUCAUUGCCGGCCUUGAUGAAGAUUUCGAGCCGGUCAUCUCUUCCAUCGUCGGGCGCCCUGAUCAGGUCACUUUUGGAGAAGCCUUCGCUCAGCUCUUGAGCUUUGAGC